UGCAGAAGAGGAGAGUGGAAUUCCACGUGUAGCGGUGAAAUGCGUAGAGAUGUGGAGGAACACCAGUGGCGAAGGCGACUCUCUGGUCUGUAACUGACGCUGAGGAGCGAAAGCGUGGGGAGCGAACAGGAUUAGAUACCCUGGUAGUCCACGCCGUAAACGAUGAGUGCUAAGUGUUAGGGGGUUUCCGCCCCUUAGUGCUGCAGCUAACGCAUUAAGCACUCCGCCUGGGGAGUACGGUCGCAAGACUGAAACUCAAAGGAAUUGACGGGGGCCCGCACAAGCGGUGGAGCAUGUGGUUUAAUUCGAAGCAACGCGAAGAACCUUACCAGGUCUUGACAUCCUCUGACAACCCUAGAGAUAGGGCUUUCCCUUCGGGGACAGAGUGACAGGUGGUGCAUGGUUGUCGUCAGCUCGUGUCGUGAGAUGUUGGGUUAAGUCCCGCAACGAGCGCAACCCUUGAUCUUAGUUGCCAGCAUUCAGUUGGGCACUCUAAGGUGACUGCCGGUGACAAACCGGAGGAAGGUGGGGAUGACGUCAAAUCAUCAUGCCCCUUAUGACCUGGGCUACACACGUGCUACAAUGGACAGAACAAAGGGCUGCGAGACCGCAAGGUUUAGCCAAUCCCACAAAUCUGUUCUCAGUUCGGAUCGCAGUCUGCAACUCGACUGCGUGAAGCUGGAAUCGCUAGU
rnacentral:rRNA from 1 species